rnacentral:rRNA from 1 species
CCUACGGGAGGCAGCAGUGGGGAAUAUUGGACAAUGGGCGAAAGCCUGAUCCAGCAACGCCGCGUGAGGGAUGACGGCCUUCGGGUUGUAAACCUCUUUCAGCAGGGACGAAGCGCAAGUGACGGUACCUGCAGAAGAAGCACCGGCCAACUACGUGC